rnacentral:rRNA from 1 species
GACAGAGGCCUCGAGCGUUAGGCGGAAUCACUGGGCUUAAAGCGUGUGUAGGCGGCCCGGUAAGUCCGCUGUGAAAGUCCAGGGCUCAACCCUGGGAUGCCGGUGGAUACUGUCGGGCUCGAGUCCGGAAGAGGAGUGUGGAAUUCCUGGUGUAGCGGUGAAAUGCGCAGAUAUCAGGAGGAACACCAAUGGCGAAGGCAGCACUCUGGGACGUGACUGACGCUGAGACGCGAAAAGCGUGGGGGAGCAAACAGG